CUGAGCUCGAUCCUCCUGCCUCUACAUCUAGUGCUAGAAUUAGAAGAAUGUGCCACAUCUGCCUUCUAAACCCAUCCCAAGGCUUGGUUAACAGUCUAAUUAAAUGUCAAGGAGGAAGGCAAACUAUCUACAAAAACAAUCUCUUCUCCUUCCCGUCUCUCCUUUCUACACAGCCCAGGGUGUCCUGUUGGAACUCAGCGAUCAACCUGCCCCUGCCUCCAGAGUGCUGGGAUCACAGGUGCUGGAAACAAAACCUGGGUCUGCCUGAAAGCAGCAGUGCUCUUGAUGGCUGAGCCAUCUCCCCAGCCCUGGAAGUUCUAUUUUCGAUCUAGUCUAACUAUGCUGCAUCCCAGCAUCUAUGAAGAUGUUUCACGGAAGAGUUUCGAUAGAUUACCACAGAAGGGAAGCGUUCAUCAACUGCAGAGGGAGGCAAGCCUAACUCUGAGGUCAAACAUCAAGUUAACUCAAAAAUAGGAGACAGCAAAGAAGAGUAUGGAACAUUCUGUAUCUGGUAAAAAGUCCCUGUCCGAGCCAAGCCCAUCCCCCAGCUCUCCAGUUCAAUGACAGAGUUAUGGAAACUUCUCUCGUGUGGUAAAACUGGGACUUUGUCUUCCAAUAAGACCCUGGCAAGCUGACAGCAAGCCAAUGUUCUGCAUAUGGCUUAUGUCAUAGGCUUAAUGUUAUUUUCUGGGAAUUCUUAGUCUCUAUUUGGUGAGAAUUCGGGAACAUGUCAUUUUAUAAUUACAAUUUUCAUUAUUUGGUUCUGUACUUUAAGAAAUAUGUGCAGGUCUCAUGUAUUUCUUACAAUGUAAGUCUACAAUUAAUUAAAAAUCAGUCUUAUGUCAUCACAAUAAUAGGCAACAAUAAAUGAACAGUGCCUUUCAA